AACGAACGCUGGCGGCGUGCUUAACACAUGCAAGUCGAACGGAGCACCCUUGAUUGAGGUUUCGGCCAAAUGAUAGGAAUGCUUAGUGGCGGACUGGUGAGUAACGCGUGAGGAACCUGCCUUUCAGAGGGGGACAACAGUUGGAAACGACUGCUAAUACCGCAUGACGCAUUUUGAUCGCAUGGUCGAAAUGCCAAAGAUUUAUCGCUGAAAGAUGGCCUCGCGUCUGAUUAGCUAGUUGGUGAGGUAACGGCCCACCAAGGCGACGAUCAGUAGCCGGACUGAGAGGUUGACCGGCCACAUUGGGACUGAGAUACGGCCCAGACUCCUACGGGAGGCAGCAGUGGGGAAUAUUGGGCAAUGGGCGCAAGCCUGACCCAGCAACGCCGCGUGAAGGAAGAAGGCUUUCGGGUUGUAAACUUCUUUUAAGUGGGAAGAGUAGAAGACGGUACCACUUGAAUAAGCCACGGCUAACUACGUGCCAGCAGCCGCGGUAA
rnacentral:rRNA from 1 species